GACGAACGCUGGCGGCGUGCUUAACACAUGCAAGUCGAACGGAAAGGCCUUUUCGGAGGUACUCGAGUGGCGAACGGGUGAGUAACACGUGGGUGAUCUGCCCUGCACUCUGGGAUAAGCCUGGGAAACUGGGUCUAAUACCGGAUAGGACCGCACUUUAGUGUGUGUGGUGGAAAGUUUUUUCGGUGUAGGGUGAGCCCGCGGCCUAUCAUCUUGUUGGUGGGGUAAUGGCCUACCAAGGCGGCGACGGGUAGCCGGACUGAGAGAGUGGUCAGCCACAUAGGGACUGAGAGAAGGCCCAAACGCCGACGGGAGGAAGAAGGGGGGAAGAUUGAAGAAGGGGCGCAAGCCGGAUGAAGAGAAGCCGCGUGGGGGAAGACGGCGUUCGGGUUGAAAAAUAAAUUCGCAAGGGACGAAGCGUUUUGUGGCGGUACCUGGAGAAGAAGCACCGGCUAACUACGUG
rnacentral:rRNA from 1 species